AGAAUGGUUUUUAACUCGAGAUGCCCCAUUCUUUCCCCAAAGACCUCUAUUUAUACAUGACUCAAAUUGCUAUUAUUAGUCUAUUACAUCAUUGCAUACAUCAGAAUUUGAAAAAGGCUCACAUGCCUCUCUAUUCUUUUCCUCCUGGGGUCUACAUUUUCACAUGCAUUUUUUGCUUUUUCAUCAAAGAGACAUCUUUUCCUCUAUUAUUGCCUCUUCAUCUUUGGCUCCAUAUGCAGCUGGCUAGAUGCUUUGGUAGUGGUAGGUCCCCUUUUAUUUAUCUCCAUUCAUCUUUUAUCUUGAAGAAUCAAUCUUUUUAAUCUUGUCUACAUGUGGGGCACUCCCUUAGUCUGCAUGAUUCUUGGAUUGUUGUAGG
rnacentral:lncRNA from 1 species